rnacentral:rRNA from 1 species
GACGUAGGGGACGAGCGUUGUCCGGAUUCAUUGGGCGUAAAGCGCGCGCAGGCGGUUCUUCAAGUCAGAGGUGAAAGCCCAGAGCUCAACUCUGGAAUGGCCUUUGAGACUAGAGAACUAGGGUACGGGAGAGGUGAGUGGAAUUCCGAGUGUAGAGGUGAAAUUCGUAGAUAUUCGGAAGAACACCAGUGGCGAAGGCGGCUCACUGGCCCGUUACCGACGCUCAGGCGCGACAGCGUGGGGAGCAAACAGG